rnacentral:rRNA from 1 species
CCUACGGGGGGCUGCAGUGGGGAAUAUUGGACAAUGGGGGGAACCCUGAUCCAGCCAUGCCGCGUGUGUGAAGAAGGCCCUCGGGUUGUAAAGCACUUUCAGUGAGGAAGAACGCCUGGUGGUUAAUACCCAUCAGGAAAGACAUCACUCACAGAAGAAGCACCGGCUAACUCCGUGCCAGCAGCCGCGGUAAUACGGAGGGUGCGAGCGUUAAUCGGAAUUACUGGGCGUAAAGCGCGCGUAGGUGGCUUGAUAAGCCGGUUGUGAAAGCCCCGGGCUCAACCUGGGAACGGCAUCCGGAACUGUCAAGCUAGAGUGCAGGAGAGGAAGGUAGAAUUCCCGGUGUAGCGGUGAAAUGCGUAGAGAUCAGGAGGAAUACCAGUGGCGAAGGCGGCCUUCUGGACUGACACUGACGCUGAGGUGCGAAAGCGUGGGUAGCAAACAGGAUUAGAUACCCCAGUAGUC